GUGGAGUGUUGCUAUGGGGCAGCACUGUGGGUCAGUGCUCCACUUAUGGGGCAGAGCCCCACUUGUGGGUCACAGGCCCACUUGUAGGUCACAGCUUCACAUACUUAUGGGGCAAUGCACCACUUAUGGGGCAGAGAUUCAUGUACUUAAGGGGCAGAGCCCAACUUGUGGGGCAGAGAUUCAUGUACUUAUGGGGCAGAGCCCAACUUGUGGGGCAGAGAUUCAUGUACUUAUGGGGCAGAGCCCCACUUAUGGGGCAGAGCUCCACUUAUGGGGCAGAGCUUCAAGUACUUGAGUCACAGCCCCACUUAUGGGUCUCAGCCCCACUUACAGGUGCUUCACUUGUGGGUCAGAACCCACUUAUGGGUCAGAGCUUCACGUACUUAUGGGGCAUCGCCUCACUUGUGGGUCAGAGCCCCACGCGUGGGUCAGUCUGUGUGGGUGAAUGCCCUACUUAUGGGUCAGAGCCCCACUUAUGGGUCAGAGCCCCACUUGUGGGUCACAGGCCCACUUAUGGGUCACAGCCCCAUGUGUGGGUCACAGCUCCACUUGUGGGUCACAGCCCCACUUAUGGGGCAGAACCCCACACGUGGAUCAGUCUCAGUGGGUGAAUGCCCUACUUAUGGGUCACAGCCCCACUUAUGGGUCACAGCCCCACACGUGGGUCACAGGCCCACUUAUGGGUCACAGCCCCAUGCGUGGGUUGGUCCAUGGUGGGCAGCGCUGUGGCUCAGAGCCCCACUUAUGGGUCACAGCCCCACUUGUGGGUCACAGCCCCACUUAUGGGGCAGAGCCCCACGUGUGGGUCAGUCCCUGUGGGUGAAUGCCCCACUUAUGGGUCAGAGCCCCACUUAUGGGUCAGAGCCCCACACAUGGGUCAGUCUGUGAGAGUCAAUGCCCUACUU
rnacentral:lncRNA from 1 species